CCGCGAUGGAGGCACCCGGUUCAGGUUCAGGAGCAGCAGAAGCGGUGGAGGACGACCGCAUCCAAGAAACGGCCCAUGGGGGCUCCAACUCCAACGCCUCUUCCAAUGGGGGUGGGGCCCCGAGCGCUGCUGCGCCGCCACCUCCCCGCGCGACGCCCUUCCACCUCGAGCAGGCCGGAAGCGGCGCCGAUGGGUCGAGCCCCGCCACGGCGGUGGACCCCCGGAAGGGCAAGGAUCCGCUGCUGCCCAGGGACAUUCCUCCUCCUCCGAGCCCCGCGGGCAGCAGCUCCUCCACCCGCUCCCGCGACUACGCCGCGGCAUUCAGAGACGGGGUCGGGGAGUCGAGCAAGGCGGGCGCCAGGAGGGCGCGGGUGAGGUGGAGCCACCCCGUGGUGGCGGAGACGAGGGAGGUGCCCAACGCGGCGGCGCAUCCGUUGGACCCCAACACGGUGUUCGAGCAGAUGGCGAUCCAGCAGGCGGCCGACGAGGAGGCGAACAGGCGACGGGAACAUCAGGCGAGGGCCUCUGCGACGUGCUCUUGUUGUUUCUUGGACUUCUUGGAGUCUCUGUCUCUGCAAGUUUGGAGUGCGUUCUUGAGCAUUUCUUGGUUUCCCGCUGAGCAGUACAACUCGGAAGAGGCCAUGUAUAGGAAGGAACAGGAGAAACUAUCACAAGUACAGGUUGGGGUAAAGGUGAGACCCAAGCAGGACAAACUACCGCACGUACAGGGGAAAUCGUUCUGGAGUCGGUUCAAGAACAAGGAGAAACUACGACAAGUCAAGGUGAGACCCAGGUCUGAAAAGGGGAAAUCGCCCUGGAGUUGGCUCAAGAACAAGAUUUUUUGUAGAGAAGGAAGGCAAAUAUGUCCGGAACAUGUGCAGCACCAGACACAACCCAUCACCGAAGUAAUGAAUCGUUAUACGGUUUGUUCUAAUGGGAUGAACAGUCUUAAUGCCUAUUCGGAAUUUAGACCGGUGAUUGGAGAUGGGGAGUGUUUCUACAGGAGCUUCAUAUUUUCCUACCUAGAGCAAGUUCUUGAUAGGCCAGACACAGAUGAGGAACGCCGUCUCCUUGAUGUUGUUGAAAAAGCGUCUGCGCGACAUGCAGAUCUUGGAUGGAACUCUAAGUUUUCCAGGAGCAGCAGAGAGAUGCACAAUUGCUUAACAGUAGUGGCAUGCCGUCACAGUUUUACACAAUGUUGGCACAAACUCAAAUUUGAAGCUUAUUGUGAAGUUAACAACCCGAUUGUAACAACGACCUUAAGAGAAAUUUACUUGCAAUGUAACAACGGCAAUAUAACGGGGAAAUAACAUAAUUGUAUGCUUGUCUGAGCACUGCAACAAUGCACACCUGCUGGUUAUUAUUGUACAGCCACCUCACUGUUCUGUUACUAUGCUGUGUUCUUUUAUAUCCUACUAUAUAUGUAAUGACUGAAGCUUCUCAGGGAGUUGUCUUAGCUGUGUUCUUUUAUAUCCUGCUAUUGAUCAGUAUUCUGUAUGUACUAUUUGUAAUGGUAUGAUUUUCAACUGUGAAUAAUUGAGUCGCUGAUUCUUUCAGGCAUUUAAGAAGCUGCUUGAGAAAGUAAUGAGAUGGAAGAAGAUGGAAUCAACUAGCAGUUGCCGUUAAGAGGAACUUCUCAAGUUCUUCAGCACGUAUGAUAAGACGCUAGACAUUUUUGCUUUCCUCAGAUUACUAGUAGCUAUCCAGAUAUGCUCGCACAGCGAGGAGUAUGUACCGCAUAUACCAGUGGUCGCUAGUGGAGACUGCAGUCUGGAAGUUUGGUGCUUUCGGCGUGUCACUCCAGCUGGUGUGGAGUCGGAGUAUCUUAUGAUGAGGGCCUUGGCCAGCGCGCUUGAGGUAAUCCUCAUAGUGGAAACAUUCCAAGAACGAUAUACUCAAGAUAUCUACACUGAUCCUGGAGUUCCCCGUCCGGCUGUGACCCUGCUGUACAAUGGUAAUCACUACGACAUCAUCUACCCAUGCGCAACAUCUUCUGGGAGUUCAAGUCAUCAGGCUUCCUAGAUAGAACAUCCUGGUGAUCAGAGUUCAAGUCAUCAGGCUUCCCAGAGAGAACAUCCUGGUGAUCAGAGUUCAAUUCAACAGACUUCCUAGAGAGAAGAUCCUGCUAAUCAGAGUUCAAGUCAACAGAUUCCACCGGAUUAAAGUUGAGUUGGCCUGCUGCCGUUGAAUGAGAGUGUUGCUGAGUUUAGUGGUAGAGUAGAUGCACCGAUGAAGUUGGGGUAGGCAUAGCAUAUACUUGUGCAUUCUUCUUCUGUUGGCUGGUAUACGAGUGAAUGUUCUGUGACCGCAUUCAAACUUAAUUGUGUUUUCAAAAUUUGAACAUGGGCAUGAUAUCGG
rnacentral:rRNA from 1 species